rnacentral:rRNA from 1 species
UACAGAGGUCCCAAGCGUUGUUCGGAUUCAUUGGGCGUAAAGGGUGCGUAGGCGGCGCGGUAAGUCGGGUGUGAAAUCUCGGGGCUUAACUCCGAAACUGCAUUCGAUACUGCCGUGCUUGAGGACUGGAGAGGAAGGCGGAAUUCUCGGUGUAGAGGUGAAAUUCGUAGAUAUCGAGAGGAACACCGGUGGCGAAGGCGGCCUUCUGGACAGUGACUGACGCUGAGACGCGAAAGCGUGGGGAGCAAACAGG